rnacentral:rRNA from 1 species
GCCGCGUGAAGGAAGACGGCCCUAUGGGUUGUAAACUUCUUUUCUACGGGAAUAAACCUCAGGACGUGUCCUGAGCUGAAGGUAUCGUAGGAAUAAGGGAUCGGCUAACUCCGUGCCAGCAGCCGCGGUAAUACGGAGGAUCCAAGCGUUAUCCGGAUUUAUUGGGUUUAAAGGGUGCGUAGGUGGGAUGAUAAGUCAGAGGUGAAAGCUAGCAGCUUAACUGUUAAAUUGCCUUUGAUACUGUCGUUCUUGAGUAUAGUUGGCGUUGGCGGAAUGUGACAUGUAGCGGUGAAAUGCGUAGAUAUGUCACAGAACACCGAUCGCGAAGGCAGCUAACGAAGCUAUCACUGACACUGAUGCACGAAAGCGUGGGGAGCAAACAGGAUUAGAUACCCUGGUAGUCCACGCCGUAAACGAUGAUAACUCGACGUUGGCAAUAUACCGUUCAGCGUCCAAGCGAAAGCGUUAAGUUAUCCACCUGGGGAGUACGAUCGCAAGGUUG